AGUGCGCCAAAAGUGGGGGAUGGUAUCAUAUUCUCUUAUAAGAGAGGCACGCCUGCUUUUAGCUCGUAGUUUCACUCUUGCUUUUGCCUUACCUUCUAUUAUAUUAGUAAAGGGCGAAUGGGGGGCGUGUGCAAUAGUUUUCUUACUUUCUCUCGAUCGCUUCAAUGCCUAUAAUUUUAGAGAUAAGAGGAAAGCCCUCUCUCGAAUUCGAAGAUGUAACACAAAUAAUGACUCUCUUCGCCGGGAUGUCAGCAGGUU
rnacentral:lncRNA from 1 species